GCGCCCGUAGCUCAACCGGAUAGAGCGUUGGAUUCCGGUUCCAAAGGUUGGGGGUUCGACUCCCUUCGGGCGCA
rnacentral:tRNA from 1 species